AAGUCGUAACAAGGUUUCCGUAGGUGAACCUGCGGAAGGAUCAUUACCAAAUCCAAAUUCAACCACUUGUGAACAUGUCUUGUAUUGUCUUUUGGGAGGUUUGAGAGCUCUGCUCUUACUUUCCAUCAAUUGCUUUUGCAGUUGCAGGAAGCCUCCCAUUAGGCGCGUGCGCUUCUUUGUCGAAAGACAAAUCAGCCACAAACCAUUAUGAACCACAAUUCAAAAUUAUCAUUUGGUUUUUUACACAAAAACAAAAUAAUGACAACUUUUAACGGUGGAUCUCUUGGCUCAU
rnacentral:misc_RNA from 1 species